rnacentral:rRNA from 1 species
UACGGGGGGGGCAAGCGUUGUUCGGAAUUACUGGGCGUAAAGGGUUCGUAGGUGGCCUGCUAAGUCAGGGGUGAAAUCCUGGAGCUCAACUCCAGAACUGCCUUUGAUACUGGAAAGCUUGAGUUCGGGAGAGGUGAGUGGAACUGCGAGUGUAGAGGUGAAAUUCGUAGAUAUUCGCAAGAACACCAGUGGCGAAGGCGGCUCACUGGCCCGAUACUGACGCUGAGGUGCGAAAGCGUGGGGAGCAAACAGG